CUAGAAGUGAUAGACAUCCGGUCUAUCACCAGCUUCUCAGAUAGGCAAGUCAUUCUUCUUGCAUAGAGAAACCUGGAGGCAUCAGAGGUCGGGUGGUGCUCAGGUUACAGUACUUUGGCGCAGGUACGGGAGAGGUGGUCCCUCUUCUGUUUGGAAAUGUGAAGCGCGUGUGUGUGUGCACGUGAACGUGGUGGACAAAGGCUACUUCCUCAUACUAUACAUGAAAGGGCCAUAGGAAGAUAAUCAAAAAGGAAAAGAAAGGAAAGAGAUCUUCAUGUAAACAGAGUCCCUCUUAUUGGCUGAAGUGAAGAGUCAUUCUGAGGCAUCUCAAGAUGAAGGUUUCCUAUUUGUGAUUAUGAAAAAAAUGUCAAGAACAAGUCCCUUGGUGUUCUUAGACCAAAGUCAGAACAACAGACCUAGUAUUUGUCUGGGGCUGGCUGUGCACCCAGAAGGCCAUUCGUUCCAUGAAGAACAUGACAGAGAUCUGGAGGAAGCCUUCCUUUCCCUCUUUUAAGAUGGUAUUUCAAAUAGAAUACUACGCAGCCAUAAAGAAGAACAAGAUCAUGUCCUCUGCAGCAACAUGGAUGGUGCUGGAGGGUAUUAUCCUAAGCAGACUGACACAGGAACAGAAAACCAAAUACUGCAUGUUCUCACUUAUAAGAGGGAGCUAAAUAUUAAGUACAUAUGGACACAAAGAAGGAAACAAUGGACACUGGGGCCUACUUGAAGGUGGAGAGUGGGAGGAGGGAGGGGAUAGAAAAACUACUCAUCAGGUGCUAUGCUAUUACUGGGUGAUGAAAAAAUCUGUACACCAAACCCCCACAACAUGUAAUUUACCUAUAUAACAAACUUGCACAUGUACCCCUGAACCUAAAAUAAAAGUUACACACACACACACACACACACACACGUAUAUAUAUAUAUAUACACACACAUAUAUAUGUGUGUGUAUAUAUAUAUGUAUAUAUAUUAAUAUAUGAAUUUUGUUUGGAGGGACACAAACCUUCAGAUUAUAGCAAUGCAAAUAUUUUUGCUUUGCAUCUUUUGUACAGUCUUAUCCACCCAGGACCUGUGCCUCUUGUCCCCACCCUCUCACUUGAAAUUUGAGGUUUAUAGGUGUUCUCAUUUUUGCCCUGAGUUCUUGCAUGCUGAUUGUGCUUUGUGCCCUGUAUAAUUGGAAGUCAGUUUUGCUAGUUAUAAAAUCCUCAACUCACAAUUUGUUCCCUUGAAUAAGUAUGGUACUCCAUUUUCUACUGGCAUACGGUGUUGCUUUCAGAAAGUUUGAUGCCAAUAUUUUUAAAUAAAUAAUAUUUUCUUUUUAUCUAAAUGUCCAUUUAAUAUUCCUUUUGCUUUAAAGUCUGAUAGAUUUCAUUAGCUUUAAAGUCCCGUAGAUUUUAUUUCUUGGAGACUGUCUUUCCAGGUUACUAUUCUCAGGUACCUGGUGUGCUCUUUCCAUAUGCAGUUUCAAAUAUAUUUUUUCAAUUUCAGGAAAGUUUCUUAAAUUAUGUAUCUCAGUAUUUGUUCUGUUCCCUUGCAUUGUUUUUUAUUUUACCAUCUAUUUUUGAAUCUUCUCUGCCUGUCUUCAAUAUUUCCACUUUCUCUUGAAUUUUUUAUUUUCUUGCUUCUUUUUAAUUUUUAAAUUUUUUAUUUAAAAAAUUUUCAUUAUGUUCAGGCAUUGUAUAUUGUGUUAAUUCUCUCUUGUAUUUAUCACAUUUUUAAUCUUGUAGUUUUUCCUAGCUUAGAUUUCAUUUUUUAAAUGAUUUUUUUAUUUCUAAAUAUUUCUUAUGUUCUUUCACCUCAUUUCUAAGCAAUCGAAUUCUGAUUUGUGUUGUGUUUUCAGAUCUUGUAUAAUUUUAUUGUAUAAUGUAGUAUGCUACAGUUUUGAUCUGUUUGUGGGCAUAGCUUUCUGGCGUGCUUUCAUCUCUAUAAGCAUGUUAUUGGUUUUUACUUCUCUUUUUUGUCUUGUAAUGUUGCGAGGGAUCUGACCUCAAUACUUUUCUGUUGUCAUUUCUAUGUGAAAUUAGUUGUCCUGAACUUUUAAAGGAAAUGUGGUUCAGGGCAAUUUUUUUUUAUUAUACUUUAAGUUCUAGGGUGCAUGUGCACAACGUGCAGGUUUGUUACAUAUGUAUACAUGGGCCAUGUCAGUGUGCUGCACCCAUUAACUCAUCAUUUACAUUAGGUAUAUCUCUUUUUCUAAUCACAUAGAGCUUCCUCAUCUGUUUUCAUAUAGUAUUCACAAAUGGUGGCUUAAUUUCUAAGAUUUCUCUGGCUGUUAUUCCAAACUCCCCCGACUCUAUACUUUUAUUUACUACCUUUAAUUUGGAUUCUCUUUCCAGGAGCUUCUUCUCAGUAUGGAGCCUGGUCCUGGCAGGGGGCUUUGGCUGUUGUCACUGAGGGCUCCUGUGGCCUGGACAGCUCCUGCCCCUUUCAGGACUCACACUGGCCUCUUACACUCACCAGCUUUUAGAGUGGUCAUGGCAGCCCCAUCUUUGCCUGCCACCUCAGCUGGUCCACUGUUUCCCAGUAAGUUCCUAUUGGCUAUUUAAGGUUUCUCCUAUUCUCAAAUCUGGGCACUCCAUUUCUAACCUCUGCUUCCUCUGGGCAGAGUUUGACCCGUGGGGACUUGGGGCUCUCAUCCCUACCCUCCGGCUUGAAAUAUGAGGUUUGUAGAUAUGCUUUGUUACCUGCCUUUUUUUUAAUUCGAUGUUGUCCAUGAGUUUUGUUUUUUUCUAUUUAGUUGCUAUGUUUGUUUUUAAUGUAAGGCAAGAUUAAAAUAUUACACUGUCACCGUUACUACCAUCCUCCCCAAAUCCCCCUGUAUUAGCUACCUAGGCUUGCUGGGUAACAAAUUGUCACAAAUUUAUUAGCAAAAGAACACACACUUGCUAUAUCACUGCUCUGUAAGUCAGAAGUCCAGGUGGGCUCGACUGGGUUCUGCACUUAAGGUCUCACAAGAUUGAAAUCAAGACAUCAGCUGAGCUGGGCUCUUAUCUAGAGAUGUUUACAUGCUUAUCUCUCUGACUUUAAAAUUUUUAUGUAAAAUUGAUUAAUACACAAAAUUAAUCCACAUAAUCUCCCUGUCUUAAGGUUGACUAAUUAUUAGCCUUAGUUACAUCUUCAAGACCCCUUUUCCAUGUAAGGUAACAUUAUUAACAGAGUAACAUCAGGAGAUGAAUGUCAUGGGGGCCAUGUUAGAAUUCUUCCUACCACAUCCUCAUUCAUUUAUUUUGAAUCCUAAGAAUUUAUUGAGAUCCUACUAUGUUCUAGGUCCUUGCAGUAAGGGUACAAUGGUGAAUAAGACAAACACGGUUCUGGUGCUAUGAGUAGAAAAUUAAUGCUGAAUGUUUAAUGAAUGGAUGACUAAAUAGAUGUGUAAAGGUCUAAAUGCACAUUCAGAAAAAAGCAACAGAAGACUGAGACUCAAUAUUAUUGAGUAUGUUUUAAAGGUCCAUGUAUCAUCUUGAAUGGAAAUGUUGCUCAACUUCUGAUGAGGAGACUAAUUCAUCAAUAUCUCUGUUAUCACUGACUGAUGACCUCGCAUAAUAAAAGAUCUUGACUUGCGUGUAUGUUAACAAUUAAUGGAAUGGGUA
rnacentral:lncRNA from 10 species